rnacentral:rRNA from 1 species
AGUGAACGCUGGCGGUAGGCCUAACACAUGCAAGUCGAACGGCAGCACAGGAGAGCUUGCUCUCUGGGUGGCGAGGGGCGGACGGGUGAGGAAUACAUCGGAAUCUGCCCAGUCGUGGGGGAGAACGUAGGGGAACUUACGCUAAUACCGCAUACGACCUUCGGGUGGAAGAGGGGGGUCGCAAGACCUCUCGCGGGUGGAUGAGGCGAUGUCGGAUUAGCUAGUUGGCGGGGUAAUGGCCCACCAAGGCGACGAUCCGUAGCUGGUCUGAGAGGAUGAUCAGCCACACUGGAACUGAGACACGGUCCAGACUCCUACGGGAGGCAGCAGUGGGGAAUAUUGGACAAUGGGCGCAAGCCUGAUCCAGCCAUACCGCGUGGGUGAAGAAGGCCUUCGGGUUGUAAAGCCCUUUUGUUGGGAAAGAAAUCUUUCAGGCUAAUACCCUGGGAGGAUGACGGUACCCAAAGAAUAAGCACCGGCUAACUUCGUG